GGAGAUAUCCCCAUGCACCUCAGUGCUGAAUAAAUUCAUACCUGCUCUUAUAACUACUCUGCUAGUUAUAGAGUCCCGUUAUUCUGCACAUCAUUUUGGCAAGCCAGGCAGGAAGAUCUCUGUCUGGCUGCGGUAGCGGCUGAGGAACAGAUUCCCUGGCGCGCCCCCAGGACUUUCCCGGGAGGGACCCCGAGCCUCUGUUCGCUCACCGUGGGGACAGACAACAACCUGCCAGCCUGCAUAUAAAGCUUCUUUUCUCAGUGGGAAUCAAUAAGAGCCGGUGCACCACAACUGCCUGGAGACCAUCGAAGCUUCCUACUCCAGCCGCCCAGACCUGAAAGACACCCCACUGGAUGAUGAAGAAAUUUGGUUCACUGAUGGGAGCAGCUACAUCAUCAAUGGAAAGCGACACGCCGGGUAUGCAGUUGCCACCUGCAAAGAGGUAAUAGAAUCUGGACCCUUGCCAACAGAUACCUCUGCACAAAAGGCAGAGAUCAUCGCUCUAACCCGUGCCCUGGAGAUUGCAAAGCGAAGGAAAAUAAACAUCUAUACAGACUCAAGAUAUGCAUUUGGGGUUGUACAUGCACAUGGGGCCAUCUGGAAAGAAAGAGGACUGUUAAACUCACAAGGGAAAAACAUCAAACAUGCGCAGGAGAUAUUUGGGCUACUGGAAGCAGUCCAGCUACCUGAGCAGGUAGCAAUUAUGCACAUUAAGGCACACCAGAAGGUGAGCUCAGAAUUGGAGGAAGGGAACGAGCUGGUGGACAGAGAGGCAAAAGAAGCAGCAAAAGGUGAGAUAACAAUUGAGGGAGUCUUAAUUCCUGAUGGACAGGUCUCCCUUGAAGGUAAGCCAGUAUAUACUAGAAAAGAUAGAAAACUAAUUCAAGAUCAAGGGGGAAAAUAUAACCAACAGGGAUGGGCUAUUACUGCAGAAGGGACAAUAGUCAUCCCUUCUCAUUUGUUAUGGUCACUCGUAAGAGAAGAGCACCAGAAAACCCACUGGGGAAUAGAUGCCCUGUAUAGCUAUGUAAUUGAAAAGAUUACUGCCAGAAAUUUAUACUCUACUGUCAUUCAGGUAACUCGGCAGUGUGACAUUUGCCUCCAGACUAAACCCAAGAAUACCCUCAAACCAAAACUAGGUCAAAUUGGAAAAGGCCAUGGGCCUGGACAACAAUGGCAAAUUGACUUUUCAGAACUCCCAAGAAAAGGGGGGCUAUCGAUAUUUGCUAGUUUUAACAGAUACCUUUUCAGGGUGGCCAGAGGCUUUUCCCACCAGAACUGCCAUAGCCCAGGAGGUAACAAAGGUAUUGCUACAAGAGGUAAUACCAUGCUUCGGGGUUCCAGCCACAAUAGCUUCAGAUAGGGGGCCACAUUUUAUCUCAAAAAUAGUACAACAAAUCAGUCGACAUUUGGGGAUAGAUUGGGAGCUCCAUACCCCUUAUCGCCCCCAGUCAAGUGGCCAAGUAGAAAAAAUGAAUCAUUUAAUUAAACAGCAAAUUGUGAGACUGGGACAAGAUGCUAAUUUACCUUGGCCCCAAUCUCUCCCACUGGCAUUGAUGCGGAUCCGAACCAAGCCCAGAGCCAAAGAAAAACUAAGUCACUUUGAAAUGCUUUAUGGGAGACCAUAUGGUGUGCAAAAGGGAUUGUCUACCCAAGUGAGAGACAAGAGGUUGACUGCCUAUAUGAUAGCCUUAGGCAAGCAGCUCAGAGCAAUUGAGAAACAUGUGGCUUGAACCCGGAGCAGAGGGCUGGAUGGGCCAGUGCAUGACAUAGAGCCUGGAGAUCAUGUGUAUGUUAAGUCUCUUACAGAAAAAACUUUGGAACCACAGUGGGAAAGACCGUUCCAAGUGAUCCUCACCACCUUCACUGCAGUUAAGAUCAAGGAACAGAGCGCCUGGAUUCACCAUUCUCGAGUGAAGAAGGCUCCAGAAGCCCCUUGGAAAGUAACACUGGGUGACAAUGAACUGAAACUAAAACUUACUCGAGCAAAAUGAGUACAUUGCAGUUGGGAGCAUUCCAUGAUUUAGCUUGCAAAAACCUAGUCAAUAAAGUCAGUCUGUUUGUUUUACUUGUAGCCACAAGUGUAAUUCAAGAAUUGGAAAGCACCUCUAGCCAGAAAAAUGCUGAAUGGCCUUGGUCCCAAGCUUUCAUUCAAUCCACUGGAUUAAUGAGAAAACACUCUGAUAUAAGAGAUUUAAACCUAUCAACUGUAGUUAUGCAUGAAAACCAGAUAUAUAAAAAGCGAGAAUGGCAAAAACAAAAGUUAUGGACCCUUCAAGGGACUAUCGGAGAAGUGUCAUGGGGUAGCUUUACCUUUAAGACAGCUUUGAGAGUUAAGGAAGUUGAAGCUACUGGUGGCUGAUGGGAGUUUUUCCUCCUGACCAAUUAUCAGUCAUUUCUAAAAUUGACAGCAAGCUUGACCAUUAAAAAGUUAAGUCAACUUGUAAACACCCCCUUAAGAUGUACAGUCAGAGGUCUCUUGUCCUCUUUUGUUUCCGGCUUUUGAGAAGGUAACAAGGCUCUGUAAUAGCCUCCUCCAUUCCCCCCCCCCCCCUCCCUCGGCCGGAGAAGGCCGCAGAGGACGAGAGGGAAGGGGGGGGGAGGAAAGGAAAGCAGAGCUGGCAGCCUGGUUUGGUUUUCAGUUUCUGCUGCUGGACUGAAACCUGACACCAUGAACUCUUGCAGCUUUUCUAAAGCUUUUAAUUCUUUUACUACUUGGAUAAACGUACAGAUUACUCCUUUUUCCCAGAAAGACAGAGAAAGAGAGACAAUCAACAUGAAGAAGACAUCAUCGAACCACCAAAAACAGUGAGGAAAAGAGUUAAGUUUAAAUAAGAAAGAGGGAAUAAGGAGAUGCUUUACAGAUGAAAUAUCUUUCUGUUAAAGCUAUGGAGAUGGACAAUAGUAGUUUAAAAAGACUCCUUUAAUUCAUGACUAGAGUAUGGGAGGAAUAGAGUGUUCAAAGUGUGGGCUUUUGAGAAAAGAGAGAGUAAUUGUGAUACUGUGAGUUGCUGGAAAUGGGUAGAGUGAAGAUUUUGAAGCCUUGGGGGGCAAAGAGAAAACUGUUUUCCAGGAAGGCUCACAGAGACAGAUGAAGAGGACUUCUGCCUUUGAAUAACUCAUCCUUAAAAUGACAUCCCUAAACUCAUGGCCCAUACACACCUCGGAGUGAUGUGAAAUGGGAGGAGUGAACUCUGAUGACAGAUUUCCAGGCAGCUGGCAUUAGAAAAAUAGAAAACUAUAACAAAAAUAGUUUUCUUGUGAGAAACUCCAUAGAUUGGCAGAAGGAGACUUCUGUUUCUCUACAAAGACUGAUGAAAAGACUCUAGCAAGAAUUGGGACUGUUUUUGACCACCAAAGUUCUAAAGUUUUUUUUGUCUCUAUGUUAUCAUGUGUACAAAGAAAUGGUCAUGUAGUGAGAGAUAAAAGGGUUUUCUGGAAGUUUAUUCUGGUGUUAUUAUUCUUGUAGUUUGUUAAUAAACUGUCUUUAUUCCUUUUAA